UAGGGAAUCUUCGGCAAUGGGGGGAACCCUGACCGAGCAACGCCGCGUGAGUGAAGAAGGUUUUCGGAUCGUAAAGCUCUGUUGUUAAGGAAGAACGAGUGUGAGAAUGGAAAGUUCAUGCUGUGACGGUACUUAACCAGAAAGGGACGGCUAACUACGUGCCAGCAGCCGCGGUAAUACGUAAGGUCCGAGCGUUGUCCGGAAUCAUUGGGCGUAAAGGGUACGUAGGCGGGUAAGCAAGUUAGAAGUGAAAUCCUAUAGCUCAACUAUAGUAAGCUUUUAAAACUGCUCAUCUUGAGGUAUGGAAGGGAAAGUGGAAUUCCUAGUGUAACGGUGAAAUGCGCAGAUAUUAGGAGGAAUACCGGUGGCGAAGGCGACUUUCUGGCCAUAACCUGACGCUGAGGUACGAAAGCGUGGGUAGCAAACAGG
rnacentral:rRNA from 1 species